UACGUAGGGUGCGAGCGUUGUCCGGAAUUACUGGGCGUAAAGAGCUCGUAGGUGGUUUGUCGCGUUGUUCGUGAAAACUCACAGCUCAACUGUGGGCGUGCGGGCGAUACGGGCAGACUGGAGUACUGCAGGGGAGACUGGAAUUCCUGGUGUAGCGGUGGAAUGCGCAGAUAUCAGGAGGAACACCGGUGGCGAGGGCGGGUCUCUGGGCAGUAACUGACGCUGAGGAGCGAAAGCGUGGGGAGCGAACAGG
rnacentral:rRNA from 1 species